CUCUGUUUUUGCAUUGCUUUUGCUUUCACUGAGGAGGCUUAGGGAAGAAUGGUACAAAGCCACUUGUGAGAACGAGCAUUUGGAGAACUUUGCACAGAACAUCUUCCAUGACGUGGGUGAAUAACUUAGAGAUCAUUCUGAUGUUGCUCCAAAGCCUCAUAUUUGCCUAAAGAAACUUAUUCCUGAUCCAAGAUAUGCCACCUAAGCAGUUCUGUUCCUAGAAUCCUGAAGAGGGGUUGACGGUCUUUUCCAAGAGGAAGAGGAGAAAUCACCUGUCAUGUAUCAUUUGGAUACUGGAUACAAGAGUGUCAACAACUCUGAAGACAAGUUCCAAAAAGCCUGGAGGUCAAGAAAGGCUGGAGGAAGAUGAAAGAAAAAAAGAGCUCAAGUGUUGAGAAAAGCACAUACUUUCCCCCAAGAAGAUAAAUACACAAGAGAAUUCAUAGAAAACUAUCAUUCUGGUGGAAAAGUUG